CUUUUCCGAAGCAUACCCACUCGACAAUUAGUCGAUUCUGAGCGAAGUCCAACUCUCGAAUUUCAAAAAUUCACUUCCUUACAUGUACAUUAACAUUCUUGACUCUCUAAUGCCACACACUAUUUGUUCAUCUCUAGCAUUCAAUACAUUCGUUAAUGCCACACUUGCAACACUAGCAUUCAUAACCUAUUAAUGCCAC
rnacentral:lncRNA from 1 species